rnacentral:rRNA from 1 species
UACGGAGGGUGCGAACGUUGCUCGGAAUCAUUGGGCGUAAAGGGUGCGUAGGCGGGUCUUUAAGUCAGGGGUGAAAUCCUGGAGCUCAACUCCAGAACUGCCUUUGAUACUGAAGAUCUUGAGUUCGGGAGAGGUGAGUGGAACUGCGAGUGUAGAGGUGAAAUUCGUAGAUAUUCGCAAGAACACCAGUGGCGAAGGCGGCUCACUGGCCCGAUACUGACGCUGAGGCACGAAAGCGUGGGGAGCAAACAGG